UACACUUGCAAAUUUAUUUACAUGACCAGUCCUCUGGUAUUAAUCCCACUGAUAAAAGUUUGGACACCUUUGGCCUACAUCAGUGCAUCCUAGAUAGAACAAGGCUAAAAUUUCCCAAGAAAUAGACUGCAAACGUUUGCACCCCCUUAAAAAAAGCUGUCUUUUUCCACAGAUGCUGCUUUUUGGAUCAUUUAAUUAUGGUACAACUUAUAUUAACAGUGAGCAUCUUUGUAAAUAAAUAAAUUACAUUAAAAAUAAAUUCAAUCAGUUCAAAAGCGCGUAUCUCUUCUUGUGAGUGUGAUAUUCUAACAACCUCCAACAGUCAUUCUAUCAUCUGAGCUGAGUAGCUUCUGACGUUCUUGUCAAAUUUUAGCACAGGAUGCACUCACAUUUCUUUCUCUUUUUUUUCUUUUAACAACAUGGAAUUGGUAAUGAUAAUGUUCAUCCAGAAACCAUCAGGGAUGCAAAUUUUGCACUCCGGGCUGUCCGGUGCACUUUCAUUCAUUCACUUUAUCCUGGUCACAAAUGAGGUGGAUCCAGAACCCAGGAACACUGGACACCGGAAUAUACACAAGGUUGGAAUUAUGUGCAGUUUUUAGGGGUCCAAGCACCAAGUACUUUGAAUUGUAUUAUUAUUAUUAUUAUUAGGUUACUGUUUUGGAAAGCAUUAAAAUGUUUAUAUAUGUAUCUGCGUAGCUGGAGUAAGAUGUUAGAUUAAUAUGUCAAUCUACCCUGCAGGAGAACCCAAGCACUAUGCAGGAUGUUUAUAAUGAUUAUGUCAUUCUACCCUGAAGAGACAGACAGAGACAGAGACAGAGAGAGAGAGAGAGAGAGAGAGAAAGAGAGAGACCCAAGAUGAGCCUACGUCACGCAUGAAAACAACUAAUGCAGGAGAAUGCGUGGAAGAUCCACAAAUAUUGAGAGAAGCUCUGCAGAAUCAUCUCGUUUUCUCUAUGCAUGUUUAUAUUUUCUCUAUGCAUGUUUAUGUUUUCUCUAUGCAUGUUUAUGUUUUCUCUAUGCAUGUUAUAUUUUCUCUAUGCAUGUUUAUGUUUUCUCUAUGCAUGUUUAUAUUUUCUCUAAUGCAUGUUUGUUUUCUCUAUGCAUGUUUAUAUUUUCUCUAUGCAUGUUUAUAUUUCUCUAUGCAUGUUUAUGUUUUCUCUAUGCAUGUUUGUUUUCUCUAUGCAUGUUUAUGUUUUCUCUAUGCAUGUUUAUGUUUUCUCUAUGCAUGUUUAUAUUUUCUCUAUGUAUGUUAUGUUUUCUCUAUGCAUGUUUAUGUUUUCUCUAUGCAUGUUUAUAUUUUCUCUAUGCAU
ensembl:lncRNA